rnacentral:rRNA from 1 species
UACGGGGGGAGCAAGCGUUGUUCGGAUUUACUGGGCGUAAAGGGCGCGUAGGCGGUGCUCUAAGUCGGAUGUGAAAACUCUGGGCUCAACCCAGAGCCUGCAUCCGAAACUGGAGUGCUAGAGUUCUGGAGGGGGUAGCGGAAUUCCUGGUGUAGCGGUGAAAUGCGUAGAUAUCAGGAGGAACACCGGUGGCGAAGGCGGCUACCUGGACAGAAACUGACGCUGAGGCGCGAAAGCUAGGGGAGCAAACAGG